CUGACUUCCCCCUUUGAUUUAUUAUAGCCAUGAAAUGCUCUGCUCUCUUCUCUUUUCCUUGCUGUCCCCCGGGGCUGGAGGAACACAGGCCUCCCAGGCACCCGGCCUCAACCUUGCUGGACUCCCGUCUCCUUCCAAGGGCUGGGCCUAGGGGCCAGAAACCGAGGUGAGUUGGGCAGCAAGGGGAGGAAGGGGAGGGACCCAGCUCUCAAAGGCAGGACCUUCAGGGGCAGGCAGCGUCUUGCCUGGGCAGAGAGUGAGGCAGGUGUGGAUUUGGCAGCAGCAGGCUCCCUAGGGUGGUGGGGGUGGAGGGCUCUGGGUCAACGCCUCAGUAAGGCUUGGGAACAGGCCUUGUCAUGUCUGAAGGCCUGGCAGCCCUCAAAUGCCAAAUAGUAGGUCACAGAAUGGUUUCUCUGUGACCCCUGACCCCGUAUUUGGAUUAAAGGGUAGCCAAAGUAGGCCUGGCUUAGGCCCAUCUGGGGAUUGGGCUGAGAAUCCAGAGGAAGGAAGGCCUGAGGCUCUGGUCCCCAGGUAGAUUCCGGGCUCCUCCAGGUCGCAGCUGGACAGCGCUCUGAGGCCUGGCCCACGGGGGGAGUCUGUCCAGCUCCUCGGCAGGCAAGGUGGCAGGAGCAUUUCUCCUAGCCCCUGUGCGGUGCCUGUGGUAAUGGGGCUGUUGGCGUUUUGCAAUGGGCCGGGGGUGGGGAGGCAGUGCACACAUGCUUCCUGUGGUGACUGAGCGCUUCCUGUUUUCUCAGGCGCCGGCCUUGCUGCUGCCGAUGUGGAAAGAGGGGCAGCUGCAGCCAGGGCGGCUCCAGGCUGGGCACCCUGACCCUGCCCAGAGGAGCCUAAGUGGGCCCACAACCCCCCAGGCCCCAGACCUGGGCAGUAGAUGGCCUGAGUUCGCCCCACAUGAAGCCCCUACCCCUCCCUUCCCCAACAGCUUCCACCAAGGGGAAGGGGCCAGGCAGGGCAGAGCAGUGGUCCAGGAGGCCAAAGGUCCAGGGGUGAGAGCUCCAGGCUGGGAGUCAGGGCACGUGGCUCUGGGCUCGGCUUUGUCUGGAGCUGAGCGCCGCUGGCCACCUCUCACCCACUCAGGCCUCUUUUUCUUUUUCUGGCACCAGGAGGUGGAAUCCUAGCCCAUUUCUGCCCACUCAUUGAACUUUACUUCCCAAGAGGCGAAGCUUUGGGGACGGCACUGAGGCUGGGCCUCCCAGGUGGGGUGUGGGGAAGACCUAGGGAGGGGGACUGGAGAGGCUGGAGGGGGUAGGAGAGCACAUGCCAGGUGGGGGCCAGGCUGAAACAAGGCUUGGCAAUGGGGGCCAGGACCAAUGUGAACAGAGAGAGUGGAGGGACAGAGGGACAUAGCGGGCGACAAGUUGAUUCAGAAGGACUCAAACAUGGGAGGAAGGUUGUAGGAACCUCUUCAUCCGGGCAAACCCCAGGAAAGGGUUUGACACCCCAUCAAAGGAAGACUGGUGGUCAUGUGCAGGAUGGGGGCAGGGCCAGGCUUCCCGUCUGCUAAGGGGAUGGAGGCCCCUGGAGUGUGACACGGGGGGCCUUGGAGACCGGUGCCUUUCCCCACCUGUCAGUCUGCCUAGAGGGUCAUCAUUAGGGUCAGGUCUUGGGAUUCAGUGCUGCCGUCUUCCUGAAUCUGUUUUGUUUUGUUUUAAGCUGAUAUUGCAAGAAAGGGAGGGGAGAUGACUUUGCUUCUUGUUGAGUUUGCUGACGGCGUCUGGCCUUUGGAGGAGGAACAUCUUCGCAGAAAGGCCAAGGCCCAAGCAAGCCCCUGGGGCCUGACCAGUCCACUGAUUGAACCAGCCACCCCCUUGGUCCAGGACGUUCUGAGAUGCCUGCCCCACGAGGAGCUCCCCCUAAAUCCCAAGAUCUACCAUCAUAGCACAGGGACCGGGCCCAGCCAAAGAGGCCUCAGAGGUCCCACAGAUCCUGAGACCCAGGCUGAGGGGCCAUUGGGCCAGGCUGGCCCUUACCAUCCUGUGCCCGCGGCCAGCCUGAGUGCUGAGUCUGCGGCACAGCAGCUGCUUCUGGCCACAAAGGCCCAGUUAUAAAUAAGCCCCAUGUGGCCAAGUCAUCAAUUCUGCAGAACUCUGGCCCAGCUGCAUCACUUCAGUGACCACAGGUCGGGCUGCCCAGGGUGGACCCCAGAACCCACCCACCCAGGCCAAAGGCUAAUAGGCUCGAAGCCUCCUUGGGUCCUCAAAUUUCUAUGUUUGAGCAUCUGCAGCUCUUGAAACUUAGGCCUCCCUGGACACAGGCCACAGAAGGGACAGGGCCCAUCCUGCCUGCACAGAGCCAGCAGCUAUUUACAAACCGAAACCCGGAGAAGUGAAGUAGCUGUGGCCAAAGUGGCUCCAGGCCCCCAGCCCCCACUCCCACUCCAUCCCCGGCAGUGCCCCCCCAUGGCUUCCUCUUUCCUUCCCACACAGCACCCCAACCUCCUACUGCCUGGCCAGCUCUGGACAACCUGAAGCUACCCCAUGGUGACCCCCAACCCCUUAGCCACCUGCCCAGGGCUCCCCUGCUCCUCUUUACCCCAGGACCCUGUAAGUGUGAGCUCCUUGAAGCAGCUCCCCGCCCCUGCACCACACACACUGGACCCAGCCCACCCCCGUCUGCACGAGGCACAUUCCCACAGUUCUCAGUUCCCCUUCAUGACUGGAAAAGCUCCAACCCAAUGGGCGCCAUGUUGCUGGCCCUUGCCUGAGGGCGGCUCCUUUGGGUGCCUUUGACCUUCACAGCAGACAAGUAGGGGGUCAGGAGAUGGGGUGUGCUCCUCUGGUAUCUGAGGGUUGCUUCUGGCGGGAGGCCAUCACCCUACUCGUUGUCAGCCCCCUCAUCAGGCAGGUGUGGAUUGUAGGCCCCUGUGCAGGGCAGAUUGGGUGGGGACAGAUGGACACGGGUGGAGACCACAGCUCAACACUGCUUAGGAGCUGGCGGAUCGGCUGGUGCUGCAGCAGCGACAGGGAGAGAGAGCAUAUGACCAUCCCUGGUGGCAGUGUCCCUCGCGUUGACACGAGGUUGACAGUUCCCCUCCAUCUGUAUUCCCCUCAGAAAAGGCCUGUUCUGUCAUCUCCGUCAUAAGAUGGAAACUGAGGCUCAGGGGGGACCAUGGGUCUGCGCGGCUAAAGGGUCUGGACUGAGAUUCUAGAUUCCACAAGGAAAAUCUAAACCCACGGCCUCCCUCUUCUGACACCUGGCUCCUCUGUGUACCUCAGUCUCUCUCCCAGAAGGGUGGACACUUCCCAGCACUGUGACAAGGAUGGAGCAGAGGGGUCUGGAGCUCAGGCCUCGGACCCCAGGGCACAUGGCCUUCCCUGGCCCUGCCAUCAGUGCCCACUGGCCCCUGCCUUUGCCACAGGCCCUGCCCCAUUCCUUCCCUCUGGCCACAUCCCCGCCGAGGGAAACCCCUGGGUGAGCGCCUCCUGCCCCAGGCAGCUGGCCCACGGAGUCCCACCUCUCCUCUCUGAGCCGCAGAUUUCAAUCUUGUGAAUUGUCACAAAUACCUGGAGCCAGGCCGGUCCUGGGUGUGAGCUGUCUAUACAGCUAGGGCUCGGCCCUUGCCCUUGGGGAACCCAUAGUCCUAUGGGGACUGCAGACAAGCCCUGUGAGCUUCAAGGGAGAAACUGAGGCCGUGGGACGCUGCCUGGGGGGGGGAGCGCUGCUAUUGGGAUGGGCCCUGAAGGACAGGAAGGAGUUCUCCAGCAAGAGCAGGGUGGAUCGGGGCUCAGUGCUGAGUCACAGCCCCGUGCCUGGCUUCUCGGCUCCCGUGGCCUGGAGGGCCGGUCCCUGCUGUGAACUCCUGCCCAUCUGUCAAGGCCCAUGGCCAUGCCAUAGCACGACCAGGCUUCGCCUGGCCUGGUGGCUCCUCACUUCCACUUCUCUCCUAGGGCCUGGAACAGACCCAGAGGUGAGGCUUCCUUGGUCCUAAUACACUUGCCAGCCCCACCCGGCCAGGCGUCUGCUCCCGGGCUCCAGCCCCCGCUGUCCUCUGCUCCGAAAAGCACCGUUUCCCUUUUCUGGGUGACCACACACGCCAUGCACAGGGAAUUUCCAUCGCAGCCUGCGGAGCCUCUGAUUCACUCAGGCCCCUCAUGCAGUUAACUCCUCCAGGUCUGGCCUCCUGCUCCAGCACCCUGGCUGCCCCCAGCCCUAGCCAGACCUCUGGGCCACUCUGCACUGACCUUGGGCCCCGUAGACUCCAAGAUGAAUUCGGCAACCAUCUCAGUGGCCCACUAGAGUCGGCUCACCUCCUCCACACUCAUAGAUCUAAGGCAGCUUUGGGCCGAACUCAGGUUUGUGGGCAAGACAAGCCUGGGCUUAAAUACUGAUUCUGGCCCUUAGUCCCUGUGUGGCCUGGAGCACAUGGAAGCACCCACCGUGAGCUGGUUUCUGUCUUUAAAAUGGAGAUAACUCCUGCCCGUGGCCUCUGAGCCUACGGCGGAACUCAGUAACUCUUAGUUUUUUUUCUUUUCAAAGAGCUUUGCCUACCCACUUGAAUCAAAUUGUGAAAUAUGAUAUAUCAAGAACUAUGUAAUGUUUUGAACAGCCAACAAUAAAAAAUUUAAAAAAAAAAAGAGCUUUGCUUGUCCUACCACAGAGUCCCUACCCCGGCCCUUCUCCUGGGCUGGCUCUCUCCUCCCAAUAGCUGGUUGCUCAAGGAGGGUGAGAGGGACGUGCAGCCUUGACCCCCAGGGUGGUGGGGCCUUGUCCAGUGGGCAGAGAAGCUGUCUCAGGCCUCUGCUCUACCAGCUUCCUGGCUCCCCACAUUUCUGCUUUUCCCAGGAGCAGUGGAGAGGCCUGGGGUGGGAGCUCCAAGGGGCUGAGGACUGAGAUGCUGAGCCCUGGGGACAGGGCUGAGCUUCCUUCUCUCUGGCGGGCACCUGGUCACACACAUAAUCAUACCUGCGUUCUCACGGGCCCAUGAGGUGUGUCCCGUUAUUGUUCCCAUUUUGCAGAUGAGGAGACUGAGGCCCCAAGAAGUGUCUUGCCCUCAGCCACAGAAUGAGAGAGGAGGGUCAGGGAUAGUAUUGAAGGUCUUCAGAGGUGAAGACCGAUCUCUGCAGGACUCAGUAAGCAUUUACAAAGGCCAACCAAGGAUGGACUUUAGUUCCAACAUGCACUAAUUGGAACCCUACUGUAUACCAGGUAAAGGCUUGCACAGAGUAGCCUUUAGUUGACCUAGCACCACUCCAAGACCUGUAGAACAGGGUGCCUGAGCUCUGGAGCAGGAGAGAGGGACGAACUCCCCAGAGGCCUUGUGGCCAAUCCCUGGGGGGAAGAUCCUGGUGAGCAUAGAGACCAGGGGACCUAGAGGGCAGAGGAUGGCAGAGGGGGCUCCACAGAGGAGGGUCUGGGUGGGGAAGCAGCUCCUCCUCAGUGAGCUGGUGUGGUGCUGCCCGUGGUGAGCAGACGGAAGUCGCUGUGGGUGGCGGUGGGUUUGAGGUGCCGGAGGCUGAGUGAUGUGGCCAGGAGGUGAGCGCCCCAUCUGUAGGCCUGGUCAGCCCGAGACAAGGGUGUGGUGGAGGGGGGGCUUCAAAUCCCAGCGCCUGGACUCUGAGGAGGCAGGACUCUGAGGAGGCAGGUGCUCUGGGGGUUUGUGCCUGGGGCUGCAGGGCUGGGGCACCCGAGAGGAAGGAGAGACUGAGGAAAGAUGGGGCAAACCGGGAAGGGGGCAGUCUGAGGAGGCAGCCCGAAGGAGGUGAGCCUUGAAAGAGAGGCCCUGGGGUGUGGAAGGCCGUGGGCCUGUGAGCCAAGGCUGUGGGAGAUUGAGAAAGAGGUUCUGGGAAUGUUGAGCAGCGCCUUCUGGCUGGGGUGGGGUUGGGGCUGCAUGGGGUGGAGGAGGGGGAGGCUGCUAGCUCCCGUGUUGGAGGCCCAGCGCAGGCUUAGAGGCUGAGAGCUAAGGAAGACUCCUGGGGAAAUAUCCGCAAGAGACCCACAGGCUUAGCUCAAGAACACAGGCCCUCGGGCCACUCUGCAGCAGCUCUGGCCCCACUGCCAGCCACGUGCCCUUGGGCAAGCCCCCUCACCUCCCUGGGCCGCAUCUCCCUCGUCUGUAAGGUGCCACUGAUCAGGUCUGCCCCCCAGGAACAAGGGGGGAAGGAGCCAAGGAAGGUAGACAGUAGGGGCCAGCCUGGCUUGCGCUUCAGGAGCAUCUGCCGUGGUUGCCAGCGAGGGUCAAGGUCUCAGGCAGACCUGAGCGUGCAUCUCCCUGAGGCCUGGAUUGACUGAGCCACUUCUGAGCCUCAGUGGCCACAUCUGUACCCGAGGGAUGAUCAUGGCACCAGCUUUAGACUCGGAUAGGAGCGAACGCACCCUGCAGUGGGCCCUUUGAUCUUGGAGUUAAAACCAAAUCCCACACUCCCCCCUUCGAGGUCCUACCCAACCUGGCCCUGUCUGGCCUCACCCCCUGCCAUUUUGGCUCUGUUCCCAGGGACCACCACCUCACCCUCCUGGGACAUGGGCGCUAGCUGGGCCCUGCUUGGAACUCUCCUUCCAGACACUGCCGGGUGCCCUCCCCCAGCUGCCUCUAGGGGUUGCUCAAAGGUGACCUUCUGGAGGAGGCCCUCCCUGGACAGGAGAGAUCACACCCUGGGGAAGCAGUCCAGGCUUCUCCCAGCUGCGAUGAUCCCCCUUCCCAGCGUCAUGGGAUUCCUCUCUAGUGGCCAUUACUUUCUGCAUGCGGGGACACACGCCAUCUACUGUGUCCCCGGCUCCUCUCCUACCGGAGAGCAGGCACCCUGAAGGCAGGGAUGCAAAGGCCUUCCUCCCCUGUCAGCCGGCAUGUGAAGGCCCUGGCCAAUAUCUGCUGGCCAUCUUCAAGCUCUAAGAAGCCAGCAGUGCUGUGACCAAAGUUUGGGGAGCGCUGAGGGGCCCUAGUGACCCAGGCUGGGGCCCCAGGGUCCUUUUCCCAAGUGUCUCAACCCUGAGAGGAAGUUGCAAGACAGCCAUCUCGGUGCUCGCCAUUUCCCUGCCCAGGCUCAGCUCGGUUGGGCCAACUUUCCCAGCCCUGGGCGUGAGGCCUGCGUUUUUGAACAUGCGCUGUCACAGCUCCUGGGGGACGGUUCAUAGGAAAAUAGGAGGGGUGACAUUUCCUCAUUUCCCAGGUCUUUUAGGCCGAGGGUGAGGGGUCUGCGAGGUCCGGGGUCAGGUUCCCCUCUGUGGACUCAAGCUUUGGGGACUCCUGCCCAUUUCCUGCUGCUUGCCUCCCCUGCAAUUGCGUUAGCACCCAGCCAACCCCCAUUGGCCACCAGCCCAGUGGGGGCAAAGGGCCACCCCACCCCAGGCCUGCCUGGCCUCCGUGUCACUCUGCAGGUCACCCACUUGUCCAACAGGGUGGGGAAAGAUCACCGACAGGCACUGCUGGUAGGAGGGUAAGAGGUACAAUGUUAUUAAGGUCAUAUGACAAUAGCUAUCUACUUACCGGUCUGUCAUCAAGUUAGAAGUGCGCAGCCCUUCAACCUGGUGAUUCAACUUUUGGAAAUUUAUCCCAAACAUAAGCCUGUUAUGUAUAAACGUGCACGUGUGUAAUUUACCACAUUUUAUUGGUUGCAGCCUUAUUUGCAGCAGCAGAAGACUGGAGACACCCACGUGCCCAUCAAUAGGGGACUGAUUACAGAGAUUAUGACCCUGGAAAAGGGUCCAGCAAUGAGAGUGAACACAGCGGGUUGUGACAGAAGAAGCCGGACCCCAGAGGCUGUGCACACCAUCCUUCUCUUCCUCUCAAGACUCAAAUCUGUUCAGAUAAAAACUAAGCUACAACAGUUAGAGAUGCUCAUGAAGAAAAGUAAGGGGUGGGAGCGGAGGUGUAGCUCACGGGAGGGCUCCCGGCUGGCACGCACCGGACCUGGGUCCUGCACAGUACCAAGCGGGGAAAGUGUAAGGAAAUAAUUUCUAAAAAAAAGCUAGGACAGAAGUAAAGGGACGUUUGAGGUGCUCUGGGUCCUGGCAAUCUUUUAUUUCUUUUUUUCUUUUCCUAAUUUAUUUUUUAAAAUUUUAUUUAUUUUUUUCAUUUUUUUUUUCUUUCCCCAGUGCUGGGUCAAACCCAGGCCUUAUAUAUGCUAGACAAGUGCUUUCCCAUUGAAUCACACCUUCAACCCUUCUUAAGUUGCUUAGGGUCUUGCUAAAUUGUUCAGAAUGGCCUCAAACUUGAGAUCCUCCUUCCUCAGCCUCCUCAGCAAUGUUUUCUUUCUUUCUUUUUUUUUGGUGGUGCUAGGGAUUGAACCCAGGCCCUUGUCUAUGUGAGGCAAGCACUCUACCAACCCAGCUAUAUCCCCAGCCCAAUGUUUCAUUUCUUGACCUGGAUAAUGUUUACACAGUGUUAGCUUUAUAAUUAAAUUGUACAUAAAUAUUUUAUGUGCCCUUUUUUAUGAAUGUGUCUUUCAUGAUUUAAAAAUCUCACAGCCUAAGGAGGGGACACACACUUAUAGUUCCAGCUACUUAGAGACUGAAGCAGAAGGAUCUCUUGAGGUAAGAAUUGAGGAUAGCCAGACAAUAUAGCAAGACACUGUCCCCCCCAAAACAUCACAGCACAGAUGCUCCUCUGCAUCCUGGUAAACUAAGUAAAAAAUGCAAUUGUCCUAGCUCAGCAACACAGUGCACUGUAGCUCAGCCUUCACCCUCAAGAUCCUGUGGUGACCGAGGACUGUAGUGGCUGCCACUGCAGCAUCUGGAGAGUCUCGGAUUGCGUAUCACGAUUCCAAAUUCUGGGGCUGGGGUUGUGGCUCAGGGGUGGAGCGCUCGCCUAGCACAUGUGAGGCCCUGGGUUUGAUCAUCAGCACCACAUAAAAAUAAAUAAAUAAAAUAAAGGUAUUGUGUCCACCUACAACUAAAAAGUAAAUGUUUAAAAAAAAAAAGAUUCAAAAUUCAAGCUGAGCAUCGUGCACACCUGUAAUCCCAGCUAUUCUGGAGGUUGAGGCAGGAGUAUCACAAGUUCAAGGUCAGCUCAGCAAUUUAGUAAGAUCCUGUCUCAAAAACAAAAAGGAACCAGGGAUGCAGCUCAGUGUAAAGUCCUCUUGAUUCAGUCCCCGACACAGGAAAAAAAAGAAAUCAACAUUUGAAGAACUUCAGUAGAAAUUUUUACUGAACGUACCAUCCUUUUCAUACCAUCGUGAAGUCAAAAAAUCCCAAGUCGAACCAUUAAAUCAAAAAAUCCUAAAUUGAAGCAUCAUAAGGAAGGGACCUUCUGUACAUCUAAACAGUAAAAUACUAUACAGUCCUUAAGGAAGGGCAAGACAGCUCUGUAAUCAUUAAUAUGGAAUGGAUUUAGGGGAGAAGAAACAAGGGGAAGUAUAAUGUGUUUAGUGUGAUCCCUUCUGUAUAAAAUAGAACAUUGACUUUAUCUAUCUACAUGCUUAUGUCUGCUUAGUCCAUCUCUAAAUGGACACAAGAGGACCAGGUAACAGGGGAGACCGUCUGUGGAAG
rnacentral:lncRNA from 1 species